UUCAUUUUAAUCGAAGAAGAACAGGGAUUGGGCAAUUUCAGUUUCGCGAAGGUCACCGAACCGAAACCGUUAGUUGUCGUAUUCGCUAGCAGGUUUGAGAUUCUAUUGGCGGCGGGUUGAGAUUCUAUUGGGAGCGGGUCAUUGGUCUUGAUCUGUUCAUUUCGCGAUCGGCAUAUUUCACAAUAGGUAAGCUAACUGCGACAGCAGCGACAGUUUUCUGGUGCGGCAGUGGUGUUGGUGGUUGUGCUAUUGGAGGAGUGAAGAAGGUUUUUGUUAUAUCAUUGACGAGCAAGGUAAACACUGGUAUUAAUAAGUCGUGUAGAUCGGGAGCGGUGGUGGUGUAGGUUAGGUCGUAACCCGAUUUUGUUUAAUUUUGUGGUUUGUUUUGUUUGGAAUUGAGUGAUAAAUUGUCUAUUUGAUAAAGAAGCAACCAACGACGACGACUUGGACCACGACUCUACGAAGCUGAAGAUGGAGAAUUUAACGUUUAAGAUUGAGAAUUCGGAUGUUGUAGAGGAGCCUACUCCAUCGGUGACGUGAAUAUUAGUGAAGGAGGGUAGUAUACAACCCAGUGGAGCUCAUAGUGCUAGAUAAGAGCUACUAAAGAGAGAGGUAGGAGGAAGCUUCCAGUGAUGGGGUUAAUCAUCAUAUGAUCUCGUAUUUGUCUCUGAUCAACUUUUGUUAAGUGUUUGGUGAAUAAGAAUCUCUGAAAGCAAGAACUUUUGUUGUAUACCUGUGUUGAUGUUCAUUUUAAUCUCUGGUUUUUUUAUGCUAUUGGUUUUCUCAGGUUGGUUGAUUAAAGAACAUAGCCGGCCUGGCCAAACAUGCCCAAGGAGUUGUUUGACUGGUUAUGGAUAGGUAGUUCUGUUAGCUCAGUACCUCAUUACAUCGAUCUGUGAAAAGUUUUAAUAUCUCCUCCAAAGGUUUGGAGAUAUAGCUUAUUGUGCAAUCACAGCUGAUCAACAAGUAAAAGGUUAUGGCACUGAACUGAUAAAUCACUUAAAACAUGAUGCAUGGGAUGUUGUUGGGUGAACCCGACGUAUGCAAUGGUUCCUCUUGUAUAUGUUUCGCACAAUGAUCUAGCUGUGGCUCAUUUUUUUAAUUCCACUCAGCAUGAGUGCUAAUUUAUUCACCUCUGCAUCUUUUUGAAAGAUUGUAUUGCAGUUUUUGCUCUGCAUUUUUCAUGGCUUAUCUGUAUCCAAUAUCAGCAGCUAAGGUGAGCUAUCAAUAAUUUCUUGGAGGAGAUUGCAUUACUUGAGCUAACGUGGUUUCACAGCUAGUUCUGGGUGGCAUAUUGUCUGUUGGGAUUGUGAAGCGAAAGGAACGUCUCACUCCUUAAAUGAUAAACCAUUUGUCUUCUGAUUUUGUCUUAAAGCCUUUUUUCUUUAGUUUGUACUAGCUUCUUGUAAAUGUUC